rnacentral:rRNA from 1 species
UACGUAGGGGGCAAGCGUUGUCCGGAAUCAUUGGGCGUAAAGAGCGUGUAGGCGGCUUGGUAAGUCCGCUGUGAAAGUCCAGGGCUCAACCCUGGAAUGCCGGUGGAAACUGUCAAGCUUGAGUCCGGAAGAGGCGAGUGGAAUUCCUGGUGUAGCGGUGAAAUGCGCAGAUAUCAGGAGGAACACCAAUGGCGAAGGCAGCUCGCUGGGACGGUACUGACGCUGAGACGCGAAAGCGUGGGAGCAAACCGG